AACGAACGCUGGCGGCAUGCCUAACACAUGCAAGUCGAACGAGACCUUCGGGUCUAGUGGCGCACGGGUGCGUAACGCGUGGGAACCUGCCCUUAGGUUCGGAAUAACUCUCCGAAAGGGGUACUAAUACCGGAUAAUGUCUUCGGCCCAAAGAUUUAUCGCCUUUGGAUGGGCCCGCGUUGGAUUAGCUAGUUGGUAGGGUAAAAGCCUACCACGGCGACGAUCCAUAGCUGGUCUGAGAGGAUGAUCAGCCACACUGGGACUAAGACACGGCCCAGACUCCUACGGAAGGCAGCAGUGGGGAAUAUUGGACAAUGGGCGAAAGCCUGAUCCAGCAAUGCCGGGUGAGUGAUGAAGGCAUUAGGGUUGUAAAGCUCUUUUACCCGGGAUGAUAAUGACAGUACCGGGAGAAUAAGCCCCGGCUAACUCCGUG
rnacentral:rRNA from 1 species